GACGGGGGGGGCAAGUGUUCUUCGGAAUGACUGGGCGUAAAGGGCACGUAGGCGGUGACUCGGGUUGAAAGUGAAAGUCGCCAAAAAGUGGCGGAAUGCUCUCGAAACCAAUUCACUUGAGUGAGACAGAGGAGAGUGGAAUUCGUGUGUAGGGGUGAAAUGCGUAGAUAUGUGGAGGAACACCAGUGGCGAAGGCGACUCUCUGGUCUGUAACUGACGCUGAGGCGCGAAAGCGUGGGGAGCAAACAGG
rnacentral:rRNA from 1 species